rnacentral:rRNA from 1 species
GAUGAACGCUGGCGGCGUGCUUAACACAUGCAAGUCGAACGGAAAGGCCAGUGCUUGCACUGGUACUCGAGUGGCGAACGGGUGAGUAACACGUGGGUGAUCUGCCCUGCACUUCGGGAUAAGCCUGGGAAACUGGGUCUAAUACCGGAUAGGACAAUGGUUUGGAUGCCGUUGUGGAAAGUUUUUUCGGUGUGGGAUGAGCUCGCGGCCUAUCAGCUUGUUGGUGGGGUAAUGGCCUACCAAGGCGUCGACGGGUAGCCGGCCUGAGAGGGUGUACGGCCACAUUGGGACUGAGAUACGGCCCAGACUCCUACGGGAGGCAGCAGUGGGGAAUAUUGCACAAUGGGCGCAAGCCUGAUGCAGCGACGCCGCGUGGGGGAUGAAGGCCUUCGGGUUGUAAACUCCUUUCGCUAGGGACGAAGCGUAUUUGUGACGGUACCUGGAGAAGAAGCACCGGCUAACUACGUG